AUUGAACGCUGGCGGCAGGCCUAACACAUGCAAGUCGAGCGGAUGACAGGAGCUUGCUCCUGGAUUCAGCGGCGGACGGGUGAGUAAUGCCUAGGAAUCUGCCUGGUAGUGGGGGACAACGUUUCGAAAGGAACGCUAAUACCGCAUACGUCCUACGGGAGAAAGCAGGGGACCUUCGGGCCUUGCGCUAUCAGAUGAGCCUAGGUCGGAUUAGCUAGUUGGUGAGGUAAUGGCUCACCAAGGCGACGAUCCGUAACUGGUCUGAGAGGAUGAUCAGUCACACUGGAACUGAGACACGGUCCAGACUCAUACGGGAGGCAGCAGUGGGGAAUAUUGGACAAUGUGCUAAAGCCUGAUCCAGCCAUGCCGCGUGUGUGAAGAAGGUCUUCGGAUUGUAAAGCCCUUUAAGUUGGGAGGAAGGGUUGUAGAUUAAUACUCUGCAAUUUUGACGUUACCGACAGAAUAAGCACCGGCUAACUCUGUGCCAGCCGCCGCCGUAACAC
rnacentral:rRNA from 1 species